UAGCUUGCUAUCAGGCGUCGAGCGGCGGACGGGUGAGUAAUACUUAGGAAUCUACCUAGUAGUGGGGGAUAGCACGGGGAAACUCGUAUUAAUACCGCAUACGUCCUACGGGAGAAAGGGGGCAACUUGUUGCUCUCGCUAUUAGAUGAGCCUAAGUCGGAUUAGCUAGAUGGUGGGGUAAAGGCCUACCAUGGCGACGAUCUGUAGCUGGUCUGAGAGGAUGAUCAGCCACACCGGGACUGAGACACGGCCCGGACUCCUACGGGAGGCAGCAGUGGGGAAUAUUGGACAAUGGGGGAAACCCUGAUCCAGCCAUGCCGCGUGUGUGAAGAAGGCCUUUUGGUUGUAAAGCACUUUAAGCAGUGAAGAAGACCUAACGGUUAAUACCCGUUAGCGAUGACAUUAGCUGCAGAAUAAGCACCGGCUAACUCUGUGCCAGCAGCCGCGGUAAUACAGAGGGUGCAAGCGUUAAUCGGAAUUACUGGGCGUAAAGCGAGCGUAGGUGGCUUGAUAAGUCAGAUGUGAAAUCCCCGGGCUUAACCUGGGAACUGCAUCUGAAACUGUUAGGCUAGAGUAGGUGAGAGGGAAGUAGAAUUUCAGGUGUAGCGGUGAAAUGCGUAGAGAUCUGAAGGAAUACCGAUGGCGAAGGCAGCUUCCUGGCAUCAUACUGACACUGAGGCUCGAAAGCGUGGGUAGCAAACAGGAUUAGAUACCCUGGUAGUCCACGCCGUAAACGAUGUCUACUAGUCGUUGGGUCCCUUGAGGACUUAGUGACGCAGCUAACGCAAUAAGUAGACCGCCUGGGGAGUACGGCCGCA
rnacentral:rRNA from 5 species